rnacentral:rRNA from 1 species
UACGGGAGGCAGCAGUGGGGAAUAUUGCACAAUGGGCGCAAGCCUGAUGCAGCCAUGCCGCGUGUAUGAAGAAGGCCUUCGGGUUGUAAAGUACUUUCAGUCGUGAGGAAGGUGUUAAGGUUAAUAACCUUAGCAAUUGACGUUAGCGACAGAAGAAGCACCGGCUAACUCCGUGCCAGCAGCCGCGGUAAUACGGAGGGUGCGAGCGUUAAUCGGAAUUACUGGGCGUAAAGGGCACGCAGGCGGUUAAUUAAGUUGGAUGUGAAAUCCCCGGGCUUAACCUGGGAAUGGCAUUCAAGACUGGUUAGCUAGAGUCUUGUAGAGGGGGUAGAAUUCCAUGUGUAGCGGUGAAAUGCGUAGAGAUGUGGAGGAAUACCGGUGGCGAAGGCGGCCCCUGGACAAAGACUGACGCUCAUGUGCGAAAGCGUGGGGAGCAAACAGGGAUUAGA